UUUUUUUUCGCUCAGGAUGAACGCUGGCGGCGUGCUUAACACAUGCAAGUCGAACGAGCCUUCGGGCUAGUGGCGGACGGGUGAGUAACGCGUGGGAAUCUGCCCUCAGGAGGGGGAUAACGGCCGGAAACGGCCGCUAAUACCCCAUAUGCCGAGAGGUGAAAUGAAUUUCGCCUGAGGAUGAGCCCGCGUCUGAUUAGCUAGUUGGUGUGGUAAUGGCGCACCAAGGCUUCGAUCAGUAGCUGGUCUGAGAGGAUGAUCAGCCACACUGGGACUGAGACACGGCCCAGACUCCUACGGGAGGCAGCAGUGGGGAAUUUUCCGCAAUGGGCGCAAGCCUGACGGAGCAACGCCGCGUGAGGGACGAAGGCCUCUGGGCUGUAAACCUCUUUUCUCAAGGAAGAAGACAUGACGGUACUUGAGGAAUAAGCCACGGCUAAUUCCGUGCCAGCAGCCGCGGUAAUACGGGAGUGGCAAGCGUUAUCCGGAAUUAUUGGGCGUAAAGCGUCCGCAGGCGGCCCAGCAAGUCUGUUGUUAAAAAGUGGAGCUUAACUCCAUCCAGGCAAUGGAAACUGCUGGGCUAGAGUGUGGUAGGGGCAGAGGGAAUUCCCGGUGUAGCGGUGAAAUGCGUAGAUAUCGGGAAGAACACCAGUGGCGAAGGCGCUCUGCUGGGCCAUAACUGACGCUCAUGGACGAAAGCCAGGGGAGCGAAAGGGAUUAGAUACCCCUGUAGUCCUGGCCGUAAACGAUGAACACUAGGUGUCGGGGGAAUCGACCCCCUCGGUGUCGUAGCCAACGCGUUAAGUGUUCCGCCUGGGGAGUACGCACGCAAGUGUGAAACUCAAAGGAAUUGACGGGGGCCCGCACAAGCGGUGGAGUAUGUGGUUUAAUUCGAUGCAACGCGAAGAACCUUACCAGGGUUUGACAUCCUGCGAAUCCCUUGGAAACUUGGGAGUGCCUUCGGGAGCGCAGUGACAGGUGGUGCAUGGCUGUCGUCAGCUCGUGUCGUGAGAUGUUGGGUUAAGUCCCGCAACGAGCGCAACCCACGUCUUUAGUUGCCAGCAUUCAGUUGGGCACUCUAGAGAGACCGCCGGUGAUAAACCGGAGGAAGGUGUGGAUGACGUCAAGUCAUCAUGCCCCUUACAUCCUGGGCUACACACGUACUACAAUGCUACGGACAAAGGGCAGCAAACUCGCGAGAGCUAGCAAAUCCCAUAAACCGUGGCUCAGUUCAGAUCGUAGGCUGCAACUCGCCUACGUGAAGGAGGAAUCGCUAGUAAUCGCAGGUCAGCAUACUGCGGUGAAUACGUUCCCGGGCCUUGUACACACCGCCCGUCACACCAUGGAAGUUGGCCAUGCCCGAAGUCGUUACUCCAACCCGUAAGGGAGGAGGACGCCGA
rnacentral:rRNA from 1 species